GCUGAGUCUCCAAAGAGCUGGAGCUAUCAAGGCGGAUCAUGUGUCAACUUAUGAAAAAUUUGUACAGACAUAUAGUCCAUCAGGGGAGUAUAUGUUUGAGCUUGAUGAGGAUGAGAUGUUCUACGUGGAUCUGGACAAGAAGGAGACUGUCUGGCAUCUGCCAGAGUUUGGCCGAGCCUUUUCCUUUGAUGCUCAGGGUGGGCUGGCCGACCUUGCUAUAUUGAAGAGCAACUUGAAGAUCAUGAUCCAACGUUCCAACCACACCCAAGCCACCAAUGAGGCCCCUGAAGUGACUGUGUUUCCUAAGGAGCCUGUGGAGCUGGGCCAGCCCAACACCCUCAUCUGCCAUGUCGACAAGUUCUUCCCUCCAGUGCUCAAUGUCACGUGGCUGCGCAAUGGGCAGACGGUCAUUGACGGUGUUGGUGAGAGCAUCUUCCUGCCCAGAACAGAUUAUAAAUUCUACAAGUUCCACUACCUGACCUUCGUGCCCUCAGCAGAGGAUGUCUAUGACUGCAAGGUGGAGCACUGGGGCCUGGAGGAGCCGCUUCUCAAGCACUGGGAGGCCCAGGAGCCAAUCCAGGUGCCUGAGACGACAGAGACUGUGGUCUGUGCUCUAGGCCUGGCAGUGGGCCUGGUGGGCAUCGUUGCUGGCACUGUCCUCAUCAUAAAGGCUCUGCGUUCCAGUAGUGACCCUCGGGACCGGGGGCCUCUGUGAGUUAUUCUGGGGUGGGGAUCUUAGGAUACAGUCAGAGAGAAAGAGGCGGGAGCCUGGGAUGUAUAAGGAAGGGAAGAAUUCAAUUUGAUAAGUGUACGUGGAUCUCUUAAUGGGUUAAAAGCAUUGAGCUGCAUAACAACAACAACGAUAAUAAUAAAUGAUUGAGUAUUUAAUACGAGUCAGGCACUACUCUGAGUGCUUUACAUUUAUUAACUAAUUUUAUCUUCACAAAUACUCUAUAAGGUUGGUGCUAUUAUUGUAAGUAUUUUACAUGUGAGGGAUAUAAGGCACAGAAAUAUUAAGCAACUUGACCAAGGCCACACAGCCAGGAAGUAAUGGAGCUAGUUUUCAAACCCAGGAAGUCUGGAUCCAAGAUUGUUGGCUUAACCACUUAUCCUAUACCAAAAAUCAAACCAAACCCAUUGCUGUCGCGUCGAUUCUGACUCUUAGCAAUCCUAAACCAUACCAAAAACCAAACCCGUUACCGUCGAGUUGAUUCCAACUCAUAGCGAUCCUAUACUCCAUCUUCAUUUUAUGAAGAAAAAGAGCAAGUCCAAACUUUCAAGGAGCCCGUAGUCUGGUAGUGGAGCCAGAUACGUCUUUCAACACAUAAUUGUCACACAGUGUGAUAAAUGCUUAAUAGAGAGUUUGUUUGAUAUCUCCACUGAAUACCACUUGCACUCACUGAACGGCAAGGCUCACAUACAAAUGCUCCUUUGGGGUUCCAUAUUUCCUAUUUAUCAUGGUACUUAAUAUAUUUUAUAUAUUUAUGUUUUUAUAGCUCUCUUCCCAUUAAUGAUCUUUCUGUGAUGAUGACCACAUCUUAUUAUUAUUGUUAUUGUUAAUUUUUAUGCUGCACCUCAAGUGAAGAGGGUUAAGUUGGUCAUACUCCUCACACUAUCAUCACUGGUACCUACAAGUUCUCUUUCUUGAUUUAUUUGCUCCCUUCUAUUCCCAGUUCCCACUGCCGUAUCUAACCUCUUACUCCAACCCUAUAGGUAAACAUUCUAAUGGAUUUGAUGAGUGCCCUUUUACUUGCAUAUCUCCUUGUAUAGCAUAUAGUAUUGUUUAGUGUACAUGUAUUUUUAAUUAACCAAAGUCAUAUUCUAUUAUAGAUCUAAUUCUGUAUUCUAAUCUGUUGCUGCCAACUAGCCCAUAAUCCUACUGUGCACAUCCACUUAUUUAUAUUUCACCUGGGAUAUCUGCAUUGCCUCUAGUUUUUCACUAUGGCAAAUAAUGCUAUGUUCUCAUAUGGACCUGAAUCUCUGGAAUGCAUAUAUCCUAGAAAGGGGUUGCAGGGUCAUUGGGGAUGCAACUCCUUAAUUUGACUAAGUACUGCCCAGCUGCUCACCAGAAUUAAUGUAUAUUUCCUCCAGCAGUACCUGAAAUUUUCUGCAACUCCUAAAUCCACAUCAACAUUGGACAUUAUCCCAUUUUCUAAUUUUUGCCAAUCUCACAUACAUAAAGGAAUAUAUUACUGCAGUUUUAAUUUGCAUUUCUUUAAUUACUUAUGGUUGGACUUUCUUCUGUGUUAGCCACUUGGAAUUCUUGUUCUAUAAAUUGCUGGUUCAUAUCCUUUGCCCAUUUUUCUACUGUGAGAUCUUAUCUUUUUCUUAUUGAUUUGCAGCAGUUCCCUGUAUAGUCUUGCUAGUAGGCCCUUGUCAAUUUUAAGCAUUGCAAAUGCUUUCUCCUAAUCCGACUUCUGGCACCUUCCUCCUUGGUCUCCUUUAUUGAACAGAAAUCUUUAAUAUUUUGUAAUAAAAAUCCAUCAGUAUUUUUAUUUUAUGCUUUUGUUUUGGGGGAUCUGUGUAAGAAGUUCUUUCCCAUGGUGAAGUCUCAAAGAUAUUCUCUUACAAUAUCUUUUGUAGUUUUAAAUUUCACAUUCCGUUCUUCAAUUCAUCUACGAUGCACCUUUGUAUCUGAUGUUAAAUGGAGAUCAAGUUUUAUUCUUCUCUGUAUAGUAGGCCAGUUUUCCCAAAAACUACUAAAUGGUUAACCCUUUUUCUAUAGGUUUCUGAUGGCCCUUUUAUUAUAUAUAUUAAGUUCCCAUUAUAAUGGGUCUGUCUCUGCUUUAUUCCAUUGAUCUAUUUGUCUCUUCUUGUGCCAGUAUCCUAGUGUUUUGACUACUAUGACUUUGUAGUAUGUAUUAGUAUCUAGUAGAACAAGUUUCCUCUCUUUUCUUUUUUGUUGUUGAUUUAGCUAUUUAAGCUAAUUUAUUAUGUCAUAUCUAUUUUAAAUUGUUUAUCAAGUUUCUCAAAAAUUCUAUUUGGAAUUUUUAUUGUGAUAGCAUUGAAAUUAUAGAUUAAUUGGGAAAAAAUUCACAUAUUCAUAAUAUUAAAUAUUAAGCAUGUAAAUCUCUUAAUUUAUUCAGAUUAUUUUCUUAUGUCUUUUAAUAGAAUUUAAAAGUAUCUUCCAUAUGAGUCUUGUGUAUUCUUCAUUCAGAUAAGCCUUUAUAGUAUUUAUUACUGUUGAUGAUAUCAGAUUCAUAACCUUAGUAAAUUUAAGGAGAUAUGAGAUAAUGAGCCCCAGAGUGGGGGAGUCCUAGGUAUCAGAGCACCACUGUUGACCACUCCCUGUAACCGUUCUCAUCAGCUUUUCAUCCCAUCAGAGCUUUAUUGUUAUGCUGAUAUUAUCCUGCCAACACCAUUGGGCUUGGUUGGCUACUGAUUUCUGAUUUACAAAGACACUGAGACAGACAGUGAUUCUCCCAAGGCAGUGUGGGAGCGAGGAAAGAACAAAACUUAAAAACUCUUCACCAAGUCUUACCACUGCUGCAUCUAGCCACAAGCCAAACCAGGCUCCUGCCCCUAUGUUCUCCAAUCCCUUGCCUCAUGCACACUAGUUCACAAUGACCUUUGACCUCUCCAGAUUUUUCUCAUAGUUUUUAUGUUGGUUCCUCAGAUGUAGGCUUUCUUUGUUCUUUUAUAAUUUUCCCAUUGAGGAUUGUGAUGAGGGAGGAGAAAACCAGGAAUUCUUGCUAGUUGGUCAUCUUUUCAUGAAUCAGGAACACCCUUUUUAUCAUCUUUGUACCUGUAAAGCUUAGCAAAUGUCCUUUGUUAUAUAGUAGUUCUUCAACAAAUGUCUACUAAAGUGUUUAGUAUAUUAUUAAUUCAUCUAAUAUAAGUUGUUGAAUACUUCCUUUGUCCUAGGCUCUUUUCUAGGUGCAGAUAAUAUAAUGAUAAACAAACAUUUCCUGUGGCCAGGGAGUAAAAUAAAAGAAAAUGAUUAUUAGAAUACAGUACUGAAAAUGUUGUAAUAAAGGUGUUAACUGGAGCCUGGCAGCACAGAGAAGGUGCAAUGGACAGGAAUUGGGCAAGGUUGAAGAAAGUCCUCUAGUAAGGGUAAAUGCAUAAAUCUUAAGGAAUAAGUACAAUAUAGACAGGAAAACAAAGGAAAGGCAUUCCAGGCAGAAGGAAGAACAUAUAGAAAGAAACAGCAGCUUAAAAGAACAUGAUCCAUGUAAGGAGUUCAUCAUGGCUAUAAAUAGAAUGCACGUUGGGACAUGACAGAAGGCUGAAAAGGUGACAAGAUUUAUGUAAAAUCAGAGGACCUAAGAGACAUCUGAACUCCAGCUGCCCUACAAACUCGAGUCUCAGCUUCCUUUCUCACUUUUUGUGCUCUCCACCCCAAUGACUGACUUACCUGCUGAACCCUUUAAGUCCUGUCCUCUUUUAUGACCAUAAAGCUCCCAGGCCCAGCAAGGUUCCUGGCACUUACACGGUAAUUAAUAAAUGUUGACAUUUUUGCAGCACUGGUGUGUAUAUAAUUCCCUUGCUGGGCUUCCCAUCCCCUUUGAGGAACCCUUUGCUGACCUCUUCUUGAGAAUUCUCUGAGAACAAUAAAUUCUUCAAUAUUUCA